UAUUUUCCAAAUCUACAGGGAGCCGCAGCAGAGGGAUGAAAGAGCCACUUGUGGCCCCAGAGCCGUGGGUUGCUGACCCCUGGUGUAUAAAUCUACUCAAUAACACCUGCCUUAAGCUUCUUAUUGGUUCAAACAUAAACUCAAGCUGCAGUGAUAGAUAUCUCUAAAAAAUACAGACAUGUUUAAAAGAUGAGAAGGUUCUCUCAUAUAAGAAUCCAUCCCAUUUUGACCCUAAGAUAAGGAGUGUCUCUAUGCAAAUGUCCUUCUCUGUUAUAUAUUUAAGCAACAAAGACCAAGAGCUUUUACUUCUUCUGCUCCAACACACACCAUGAUCUCUACAUCCCUACUGCUGCUGCUGCUGGCAGCCGUACACUGUGUUCACAGUGUUGAGCUGAUCCAGACCGGAUCCACAGUAUUAACUCCUGGUCAGUCACUGACUCUGACCUGUAAAGUGUCUGGAUAUUCAUUAACUGAUAGAAGCUAUUGUACAUACUGGAUACGACAACCUGCAGGAAAAACUCUGGAAUGGAUCGGAAGGAUAUGUGGUAGUGGUAACACUUACUUCAGUGAGAAACUGAAAAGCAGGUUUCAGGUUACCAGAGACACGUCCAGCAGCACAGUGACAUUAACAGGACAAAACAUGCAGACUGAAGACACAGCUGUGUAUUACUGCACUCGUGAACCACACAGUGAGAGGAAUAAACAACAUCCCUGUACAAAAACUCCUCAUUCAGUGUUCACAAUAACAGGACACAAGACACAACACUUAUGUAUACAAAUCUUAGAAAAUGUAAAAUAAAUAAAUAAACAAACAAUCAAACAACAAACAAACAAAUACAUAAAUAAAAUCCACAAAUGAGAACAAAAAGAUUAAAGUUAGUUCAUUUUUUUUAUAUAAUCCUAAUAUGGAUUUUAAACCAUAAUACAAAAUUUCUGAUGUUACUGCACAUGAUACACACUGUAAUAAUCAUAUCACUAUCAAGGAUUAGUUGCAGUUCCUCUCCGUUACAUCCUCAUGACUCCCACAUGUUUUCUAUCAUGACAUCACGAUGCAAAUCCAGACUGCUGUGUGUCCAUGCAGUAUUUAUGUGCAGCUGAGCUGAGUGGAGAGAUCGAGUCUCAUCAACACUCACCAUGAAGAUCCCACUCUCCUUAUUCCUGCUACUA